rnacentral:rRNA from 1 species
CCUACGGGGGGCAGCAGUGGGGAAUAUUGGACAAUGGGCGAAAGCCUGAUCCAGCCAUGCCGCGUGUGUGAAGAAGGCCUUCGGGUUGUAAAGCACUUUCAGUGGGGAAGAAAGCCUUGGGGCUAAUACCCUCGAGGAAGGACAUCACCCACAGAAGAAGCACCGGCUAACUCCGUGCCAGCAGCCGCGGUAAUACGGAGGGUGCGAGCGUUAAUCGGAAUUACUGGGCGUAAAGCGCGCGUAGGCGGUCUGAUAAGCCGGUUGUGAAAGCCCCGGACUCAACCUGGGAACGGCAUCCGGAACUGUCAGGCUAGAGUGCAGGAGAGGAAGGUAGAAUUCCCGGUGUAGCGGUGAAAUGCGUAGAGAUCGGGAGGAAUACCAGUGGCGAAGGCGGCCUUCUGGACUGACACUGACGCUGAGGUGCGAAAGCGUGGGUAGCAAACAGGAUUAGAUACCCGGGUAGUC